AUUGAACGCUGGCGGCAGGCCUAACACAUGCAAGUCGAGCGAGCGGCGGACGGGUGAGUACUGUCUGGGAAACUGCCUGAUGGAGGGGGAUAACUACUGUAAACGGUAGCUAAUAACGCAUACCAUCAGAUGUGCCCAGAUGGGAUUAGCUAGUAGGUGGGGUAACGGCUCACCUCGGCGACGAUCCCUAGCUGGUCUGAGAGGAUGACCAGACACACUGGAACUGAGCCAUGGCCCAGACUCGUACGGGAGGCAGCAGUGGGGAAUAUUGAACAAUGGGAGCAACCCUGAGGCAGCCAUGCCGCGUGUGUGAAGAAGGCCUUCGGGUGGUAAAGCACUUUCAUCGGGGAGGCGUUACCCGCAGAAGAAGCACCGGCUAACUCCGUGCCAGCAGCCGCGGUAAUAC
rnacentral:rRNA from 1 species